rnacentral:rRNA from 1 species
CAGCACGAUGUAGCAAUACAUUGGUGGCGACCGGCGCACGGGUGAGUAACGCGUAUGCAACCUACCUAUCAGAGGGGAAUAACCCGGCGAAAGUCGGACUAAUACCGCAUAAAACAGGGGUUCCACAUGGAAAUAUUUGUUAAAGAAUUAUCGCUGAUAGAUGGGCAUGCGUUCCAUUAGAUAGUUGGUGAGGUAACGGCUCACCAAGUCCACGAUGGAUAGGGGUUCUGAGAGGAAGGUCCCCCACACUGGUACUGAGACACGGACCAGACUCCUACGGGAGGCAGCAGUGAGGAAUAUUGGUCAAUGGGCGAGAGCCUGAACCAGCCAAGUCGCGUGAAGGAUGAAGGAUCUAUGGUUUGUAAACUUCCUUUAUAUGGGAAUAAAGUGAGGAACGUGUUCCUUUUUGUAUGUACCAUAUGAAUAAGCAUCGGCUAACUCCGUGCCAGCAGCCGCGGUAAUACGGAGGAUGCGAGCGUUAUCCGGAUUUAUUGGGUUUAAAGGGUGCGUAGGUGGUUAAUUAAGUCAGCGGUGAAAGUUUGUGGCUCAACCAUAAAAUUGCCGUUGAAACUGGUUGACUUGAGUAUAUUUGAGGUAGGCGGAAUGCGUGGUGUAGCGGUGAAAUGCAUAGAUAUCACGCAGAACUCCGAUUGCGAAGGCAGCUUACUAAACUAUAACUGACACUGAAGCACGAAAGCGUGGGGAUCAAACAGG